UCCUGAGCAAUCGGGAGAGUAAAGUGGCGCACGGGUGAGUAACGCGUGGGUAAUCUACCCUGAAGCUUGGAAUAACACCUCGAAAGGGGUGCUAAUACCAAAUAAUAUCCCUGGAACCCCGGUUCUGGGGAUCAAAGAUGGCUGAGGCUUGCAAGCUAUCACUUUAGGAUGAGCCCGCGGACCAUUAGCUAGUUGGUGGGGUAACGGCCCACCAAGGCUAUGAUGGUUAGCUGGUCUGAGAGGAUGGCCAGCCACACUGGAACUGAGAUACGGUCCAGACUCCUACGGGAGGCAGCAGUGAGGAAUCUUGCGCAAUGGGGGCAACCCUGACGCAGCAACGCCGCGUGAGUGAUGAAGGCCUUCGGGUCGUAAAGCUCUGUCAGAUGGGAAGAAAGUUUCCGCGACCAACAAUCGCGGAGAUUGACGGUACCGUCAAAGGAAGCACCGGCUAACUCCGUGCCAGCAGCCGCGGUAAUACGGAGGGUGCUAGCGUUGUUCGGAAUUAUUGGGCGUAAAGAGCGUGUAGGCGGCUAGAUAAGUCAGAUGUGAAAACCCUUGGCUUAACCAAGGAAGUGCAUUUGAAACUGUCUGGCUUGAGUACGGGAGGGGGAAGUGGAAUUCCCGGUGUAGAGGUGAAAUUCGUAGAUAUC
rnacentral:rRNA from 1 species